rnacentral:rRNA from 1 species
ACGAACGCUGGCGGCGUGCUUAACACAUGCAAGUCGAACGGAAAGGCCUGCUUUCCCUUGUGGAUUGCGGGUGCUCGAGUGGCGAACGGGUGAGUAACACGUGAGUGAUCUGCCCCCAACUUGGGUAUAAGCCUGGGAAACUGGGUCUAAUUCCCGAUAGGACUGCAGGGUGGUGCCUGUGGUGGAAAACGAUUUUCUAGUGGUUGGGGAUGAGCUCGCGGCCUAUCAGCUUGUUGGUGGGGUAAUGGCCUACCAAGGCGGCGACGGGUAGCCGGCCUGAGAGGGUGGACGGCCACAUUGGGACUGAGAUGCGGCCCAGACUCCUACGGGAGGCAGCAGUGGGGAAUAUUGCACAAUGGGCGGAAGCCUGAUGCAGCGACGCCGCGUGGGGGAUGACGGCCUUCGGGUUGUAAACUCCUUUCGACCGCGAGGAAGCCACCUGGUUGGAAGGGUGGUGACGGUAGUGGUAGAAGAAGCACCGGCUAACUACGUG